rnacentral:rRNA from 1 species
GGGCCCGCACAAGCGGUGGAGUAUGUGGUUUAAUUCGAUGCAACGCGAAGAACCUUACCAGGGUUUGACAUCCUGCGAAUCUCUUGGAAACGAGAGAGUGCCUUCGGGAACGCAGUGACAGGUGGUGCAUGGCUGUCGUCAGCUCGUGUCGUGAGAUGUUGGGUUAAGUCCCGCAACGAGCGCAACCCACGUCUUUAGUUGCCAGCAUUUAGUUGGGCACUCUAUGGAAACUGCCCGUGAUAAGCGGGAGGAAGGUGUGGAUGACGUCAAGUCCUCAUGGCCCUUACGGGUUGGGCUACACACGUGCUACAAUGGUAGUGACAAUGGGUUAAUCCCAAAAAGCUAUCUCAGUUCGGAUUGGGGUCUGCAACUCGACCCCAUGAAGUCGGAAUCGCUAG